rnacentral:rRNA from 1 species
CUGACCUCGGAUCAGGUAACAAACCCACG